GAUGAACGCUGGCGGCGUGCCUAAUACAUGCAAGUCGAGCGAACAGAUGAGGAGCUUGCUCCUCUGACGUUAGCAGCGGACGGGUGAGUAACACGUGGAUAACCUACCUAUAAGACUGGGAUAACUUCGGGAAACCGGAGCUAAUACCGGAUAAUAUAUUGAACCGCAUGGUUCAAUAGUGAAAGACGGUUUUGCUGUCACUUAUAGAUGGAUCCGCGCCGCAUUAGCUAGUUGGUAAGGUAACGGCUUACCAAGGCAACGAUGCGUAGCCGACCUGAGAGGGUGAUCGGCCACACUGGAACUGAGACACGGUCCAGACUCCUACGGGAGGCAGCAGUAGGGAAUCUUCCGCAAUGGGCGAAAGCCUGACGGAGCAACGCCGCGUGAGUGAUGAAGGUCUUCGGAUCGUAAAACUCUGUUAUUAGGGAAGAACAAAUGUGUAAGUAACUAUGCACGUCUUGACGGUACCUAAUCAGAAAGCCACGGCUAACUACGUG
rnacentral:rRNA from 1 species